UGGGGAAUAUUGCACAAUGGGCGAAAGCCUGAUGCAGCAACGCCGCGUGAGUGAUGAAGGCCUUCGGGUUGUAAAGCUCUGUCUUUUGGGACGAUAAUGACGGUACCAAAGGAGGAAGCCACGGCUAACUACGUGCCAGCAGCCGCGGUAAGUACGUAGGUGGCGAGCGUUGUCCGGAUUUACUGGGCGUAAAGGAUGCGUAGGCGGAUAUUUAAGUGAGAUGUGAAAUACCCGAGCUUAACUUGGGUGCUGCAUUUCAAACUGGAUAUCUAGAGUGCGGGGAGAGGAGAAUGGAAUUCCUAGUGUAGCGGUGAAAUGCGUAGAGAUUAGGAAGAACACCAGUGGCGAAGGCGAUCUCUGGACCGUAACUGACGCUGAGGCAUGAAAGCGUGGGUAGCAAACAGGGUUAGAUACCCUGGUAGUCCACGCCGUAAACGAUGAGUACUAGGUGUAGGGGGUCCGAACCCUCUGUGCCGCAGUUAACACAAUAAGU
rnacentral:rRNA from 1 species